UUGAUGAUUGCAAUGCACUUUGAGCUGCCAAGCCGUUCAAGAUGCUCUGAGUUUGUCUUAGAUUAUGUCUACUUUGAGAAUUCCUCCAGCAACCCGUACCUAAUCAGGAGGAUAGAAGAACUCAACAAGACUGCAACUGGCAACGUGGAAGCAAAAGUAGUAUGCUUCUAUAGACGACGAGAUAUUUCCAACACGCUUAUAAUGCUUGCAGAUAAGCAUGCUAAAGAAAUUGAGGAAGAAUCUGAAACAACCAUUGAGGCUGACUUGACUGAUAAACAGAAACAUCAGUUGAAACAUAGGGAACUCUUUUUGUCUCGCCAAUAUGAAUCUCUGCCUGCAACACAUAUCAGGGGGAAAUGCAGUGUUGCCCUUCUGAAUGAGACAGAGUCAGUAUUGUCAUAUCUCGAUAAAGAGGAUACCUUUUUCUACUCAUUGGUCUAUGACCCCUCUGUGAAAACACUAUUAGCUGACAAAGGUGAGAUCAGAGUGGGACCUAGAUAUCAAGCAGACAUUCCAGAAAUGCUCUCAGAAGGAGAAUCAGAUGAGAGGGAACAGUCAAAAUUGGAAGUUAAAGUUUGGGACCCAAAUAGCCCACUUACAGAUCGACAGAUUGACCAGUUUUUAGUUGUAGCACGUGCUGUUGGGACAUUCGCUCGAGCCCUUGAUUGCAGCAGUUCUGUACGGCAGCCUAGUUUGCAUAUGAGCGCAGCUGCAGCUUCCCGAGACAUCACCCUGUUUCAUGCUAUGGAUACAUUAUAUAGACACAGCUAUGACUUGAGCAGUGCAAUAAGUGUCUUAGUGCCACUUGGAGGACCUGUUUUAUGCAGAGAUGAAAUGGAAGAAUGGUCAGCCUCUGAAGCUACUUUAUUUGAAGAGGCACUGGAAAAAUAUGGCAAAGACUUCAAUGAUAUACGUCAAGACUUUCUCCCUUGGAAAUCAUUGACUAGCAUCAUUGAAUAUUAUUACAUGUGGAAAACUACUGACAGAUACGUGCAGCAGAAACGUCUAAAAGCAGCAGAAGCAGAGAGUAAACUGAAACAAGUGUAUAUCCCAACUUACAGCAAACCGAAUCCCAACCAAAUAUCCACCAGCAAUGGCAAACCUGGUACUGUGAAUGGGGCCGUGGGAACCACAUUCCAGCCGCAGAAUCCCCUCUUAGGGCGAGCCUGUGAGAGCUGCUACGCUACACAGUCUCAUCAGUGGUAUUCUUGGGGUCCACCUAAUAUGCAGUGUAGAUUAUGUGCAACCUGUUGGCUCUAUUGGAAAAAAUAUGGCGGCCUGAAAAUGCCCACUCAGUCAGAAGAAGAGAAGUUAUCUCCCAGCCCACCUACAGAGGACCCCCGUGUCAGAAGCCACAUGUCUCGCCAAGCCAUGCAGGGGAUGCCCGUCCGCAACACUGGGAGCCCAAAGUCUGCAGUGAAGACCCGCCAAGCUUUCUUCCUUCACACUACAUAUUUCACAAAAUUUGCUCGUCAGGUCUGCAAAAAUACCCUCCGGCUGCGGCAGGCAGCGAGACGGCCGUUUGUUCCUAUUAAUUAUGCUGCCAUUAGGGCAGAAUAUGCAGACAGACAUGCUGAACUCUCUGGAAGUCCCCAGAAAAGCAAAAGCACCAGGAAACCUUUGGCAUGUAUCAUUGGGUAUUUAGAGAUCCAUCCUUCGAAGAAACCUAAUGUAAUUCGAUCUACACCAACUCUACAAACUCCCACUACCAAGCGGAUGCUGACCACCCCGAAUCACACGACUCUGAGCAUUUUGGGGAAAAGAAACUACAGUCAUCACAAUGGCCUGGGUGAAAGGCUCCUGAAGUGAAGGCGCAGCUCUGCUCCGGCCUGCAGACCUUCCUCAGGAGGGCGGGAGGCUGUGAAGAACUCACAUGCUGCGUGUCAGACUGAGCUACCCCUGUUUCAUCCUGUAAUCCAAGACUUGCUCCACUGCCCUGCUGCUGUUCAUGGCCGUGCCUGGGAAGGAGGCAGCCCCAUCCCCAGUACAUUUCAGUGGGAGACCUCCAUGCACACCCCAUGGAGACUCGAUGAGGGGGGAGGGGGAAGAAACUGUAGGAGUGCACGUCCCAAAAGCUGAGUCUCCCUGUGUGAAUCAGUGUCACUUCGCUUUCCUCAGAGACCUCGCUGUCCCCGAGAGACCUGCCUGAGAAUUAAGGGCAAGAGGGAGCCACUCCACUUCCUCCCUUCUCCGCACCCUGCAUCCCUGCACAGCAGCUCUUGGAGCAGGAGGGCGGCUGAGAGCUCCGAGCCACUGCUGCCCUGCAUGCGCCAGCUCAGCUCUGUUGUAAGCUGUAUGACCGUGUACAGGAGGGACAUGGCAUCUUUCUGAAUGGAUUUUUCUUAACAGGUGUGCCAGUGUUUAUGCAAUUCACAUUUCCCUUGUCCUCGCUGUUACUGUCACUGGCUUUUUCUCAAUCGGCUUCAUAGUAAUUUUUUUUUUUAAUGGGGAAAUUUUCCUCUUUACCUCCUGCAUCCUAUAUUUGAUCCCUUCCCUACCCCUCCAAGGUACAGACUUACCCGAGGUCCUGACAAAUGAUAAGAAAAGUGUCUUUGGGAA